rnacentral:rRNA from 1 species
GCAGCUUGCUGCUUUGCUGACGAGUGGCGGACGGGUGAGUAAUGUCUGGGAAACUGCCUGAUGGAGGGGGAUAACUACUGGAAACGGUAGCUAAUACCGCAUAACGUCGCAAGACCAAAGAGGGGGACCUUCGGGCCUCUUGCCAUCGGAUGUGCCCAGAUGGGAUUAGCUAGUAGGUGGGGUAACGGCUCACCUAGGCGACGAUCCCUAGCUGGUCUGAGAGGAUGACCAGCCACACUGGAACUGAGACACGGUCCAGACUCCUACGGGAGGCAGCAGUGGGGAAUAUUGCACAAUGGGCGCAAGCCUGAUGCAGCCAUGCCGCGUGUAUGAAGAAGGCCUUCGGGUUGUAAAGUACUUUCAGCGGGGAGGAAGGUGAUAAGGUUAAUAACCUCAUCGAUUGACGUUACCCGCAGAAGAAGCACCGGCUAACUCCGUGCCAGCAGCCGCGGUAAUACGGAGGGUGCAAGCGUUAAUCGGAAUUACUGGGCGUAAAGCGCACGCAGGCGGUCUGUCAAGUCGGAUGUGAAAUCCCCGGGCUCAACCUGGGAACUGCAUUCGAAACUGGCAGGCUAGAGUCUUGUAGAGGGGGGUAGAAUUCCAGGUGUAGCGGUGAAAUGCGUAGAGAUCUGGAGGAAUACCGGUGGCGAAGGCGGCCCCCU